rnacentral:rRNA from 1 species
UUAAGCGACUAAGCGUACACGGUGGAUGCCCUGGCAGUCAGAGGCGAUGAAGGACGUGCUAAUCUGCGAUAAGCGUCGGUAAGGUGAUAUGAACCGUUAUAACCGGCGAUUUCCGAAUGGGGAAACCCAGUGUGAUUCGUCACACUAUCAUUAACUGAAUCCAUAGGUUAAUGAGGCGAACCGGGGGAACUGAAACAUCUAAGUACCCCGAGGAAAAGAAAUCAACCGAGAUUCCCCCAGUAGCGGCGAGCGAACGGGGAGCAGCCCAGAGCCUGAAUCAGUGUGUGUGUUAGUGGAAGCGUCUGGAAAGGCGCGCGAUACAGGGUGACAGCCCCGUACACAAAAAUGCACAUGCUGUGAGCUCGAUGAGUAGGGCGGGACACGUGGUAUCCUGUCUGAAUAUGGGGGGACCAUCCUCCAAGGCUAAAUACUCCUGACUGACCGAUAGUGAACCAGUACCGUGAGGGAAAGGCGAAAAGAACCCCGGCGAGGGGAGUGAAAAAGAACCUGAAACCGUGUACGUACAAGCAGUGGGAGCACNNNNNNNNNNGUGUGACUGCGUACCUUUUGUAUAAUGGGUCAGCGACUUAUAUUCUGUAGCAAGGUUAACCGAAUAGGGGAGCCGAAGGGAAACCGAGUCUUAACUGGGCGUUAAGUUGCAGGGUAUAGACCCGAAACCCGGUGAUCUAGCCAUGGGCAGGUUGAAGGUUGGGUAACACUAACUGGAGGACCGAACCGACUAAUGUUGAAAAAUUAGCGGAUGACUUGUGGCUGGGGGUGAAAGGCCAAUCAAACCGGGAGAUAGCUGGUUCUCCCCGAAAGCUAUUUAGGUAGCGCCUCGUGAAUUCAUCUCCGGGGGUAGAGCACUGUUUCGGCAAGGGGGUCAUCCCGACUUACCAACCCGAUGCAAACUGCGAAUACCGGAGAAUGUUAUCACGGGAGACACACGGCGGGUGCUAACGUCCGUCGUGAAGAGGGAAACAACCCAGACCGCCAGCUAAGGUCCCAAAGUCAUGGUUAAGUGGGAAACGAUGUGGGAAGGCCCAGACAGCCAGGAUGUUGGCUUAGAAGCAGCCAUCAUUUAAAGAAAGCGUAAUAGCUCACUGGUCGAGUCGGCCUGCGCGGAAGAUGUAACGGGGCUAAACCAUGCACCGAAGCUGCGGCAGCGACGCUUAUGCGUUGUUGGGUAGGGGAGCGUUCUGUAAGCCUGCGAAGGUGUGCUGUGAGGCAUGCUGGAGGUAUCAGAAGUGCGAAUGCUGACAUAAGUAACGAUAAAGCGGGUGAAAAGCCCGCUCGCCGGAAGACCAAGGGUUCCUGUCCAACGUUAAUCGGGGCAGGGUGAGUCGACCCCUAAGGCGAGGCCGAAAGGCGUAGUCGAUGGGAAACAGGUUAAUAUUCCUGUACUUGGUGUUACUGCGAAGGGGGGACGGAGAAGGCUAUGUUGGCCGGGCGACGGUUGUCCCGGUUUAAGCGUGUAGGCUGGUUUUCCAGGCAAAUCCGGAAAAUCAAGGCUGAGGCGUGAUGACGAGGCACUACGGUGCUGAAGCAACAAAUGCCCUGCUUCCAGGAAAAGCCUCUAAGCAUCAGGUAACAUCAAAUCGUACCCCAAACCGACACAGGUGGUCAGGUAGAGAAUACCAAGGCGCUUGAGAGAACUCGGGUGAAGGAACUAGGCAAAAUGGUGCCGUAACUUCGGGAGAAGGCACGCUGAUAUGUAGGUGAAGUCCCUCGCGGAUGGAGCUGAAAUCAGUCGAAGAUACCAGCUGGCUGCAACUGUUUAUUAAAAACACAGCACUGUGCAAACACGAAAGUGGACGUAUACGGUGUGACGCCUGCCCGGUGCCGGAAGGUUAAUUGAUGGGGUUAGCGCAAGCGAAGCUCUUGAUCGAAGCCCCGGUAAACGGCGGCCGUAACUAUAACGGUCCUAAGGUAGCGAAAUUCCUUGUCGGGUAAGUUCCGACCUGCACGAAUGGCGUAAUGAUGGCCAGGCUGUCUCCACCCGAGACUCAGUGAAAUUGAACUCGCUGUGAAGAUGCAGUGUACCCGCGGCAAGACGGAAAGACCCCGUGAACCUUUACUAUAGCUUGACACUGAACAUUGAGCCUUGAUGUGUAGGAUAGGUGGGAGGCUUUGAAGUGUGGACGCCAGUCUGCAUGGAGCCGACCUUGAAAUACCACCCUUUAAUGUUUGAUGUUCUAACGUUGACCCGUAAUCCGGGUUGCGGACAGUGUCUGGUGGGUAGUUUGACUGGGGCGGUCUCCUCCUAAAGAGUAACGGAGGAGCACGAAGGUUGGCUAAUCCUGGUCGGACAUCAGGAGGUUAGUGCAAUGGCAUAAGCCAGCUUGACUGCGAGCGUGACGGCGCGAGCAGGUGCGAAAGCAGGUCAUAGUGAUCCGGUGGUUCUGAAUGGAAGGGCCAUCGCUCAACGGAUAAAAGGUACUCCGGGGAUAACAGGCUGAUACCGCCCAAGAGUUCAUAUCGACGGCGGUGUUUGGCACCUCGAUGUCGGCUCAUCACAUCCUGGGGCUGAAGUAGGUCCCAAGGGUAUGGCUGUUCGCCAUUUAAAGUGGUACGCGAGCUGGGUUUAGAACGUCGUGAGACAGUUCGGUCCCUAUCUGCCGUGGGCGCUGGAGAAUUGAGGGGGGCUGCUCCUAGUACGAGAGGACCGGAGUGGACGCAUCACUGGUGUUCGGGUUGUCAUGCCAAUGGCACUGCCCGGUAGCUAAAUGCGGAAGAGAUAAGUGCUGAAAGCAUCUAAGCACGAAACUUGCCCCGAGAUGAGUUCUCCCUGACUCCUUGAGAGUCCUGAAGGAACGUUGAAGACGACGACGUUGAUAGGCCGGGUGUGUAAGCGCAGCGAUGCGUUGAGCUAACCGGUACUAAUGAACCGUGAGGCUUAACCUU